GCAAUGUUCUCUUUCUGGAGAUCUCUGUAUACCUGAGGGCUUCUCAAGAUUAUUUGUGGAAGAAUACCACAGGAGAAAAAAAAAUCUAGGCUGGAGAUUUCAUAGAGUUCUACUAAUGUCUUAUUUACGAUCCACUGUUGUUUUCGUAACUUGCUUGCAAGGAGCAUGAAGAAAUUCAGCAUGUUUCUGAAACUGAGUUAAUGAGAUGAAACACAGAAUUUUUUCACAUCGUUCAUCAAAAGUACUUUUUACUCUUCAGGAGAAGAAAAGGACAGACAGAAACAGCAGACUACAGCCUGAGAGUAACAGAUGGAAGAUACUGUCUAUCAAACAUAAAGCCAUGUAUUCAGAAAUCAAAAGGAUAUGCUGUUGAAAAGUUACCUUAAAAUGUUUGUCUUCCAAAAAGUAAGUAAAAAUGGAGAUGAAGUGAACCUCAUGCUCAGUGUUCC
rnacentral:lncRNA from 1 species